rnacentral:misc_RNA from 1 species
GUUCCAAUGCUUUUUUCUCUCAAAUAAUAUAACUUUAUUUUUUUUAUACUCAUUUUGCAUAAUGCUUGCCCUUGGUCUGAAUACAUGGAAAGUAACAAAACUUUGAGCAAUUUGUUCCAAUGGAGCUAUGCUAACAAAACGGAAGACUAACUCAUUACGUACUUCACUUGAGCGUAGCUUCCAAUCCUUUGGCAACUGAUGCUUUAAGUGUAGGAGAAACUGGAUCACCUCCAAGAAAUACAUCGAAGAGAGCUGAUGCAACAUUUGGUGACUCAAUAGUUGCGUCAACCGAGGAAGGCAUUCCAUCAAAAGAGAGUGAAACAAGCAUUUUAUUUGGGUCAAUCCAAGUCAAGAAUAUGGAAGUUUCUUUCUUAAGAGGUUUCCCUUGAAAGACACCGCGGAAUGUAGAAAGAGCAGACUUAUCAUCGGCAGUAGGGGAUUUGAUUCUCGGAGAGAUGGCUUCAUCUAAGGCAUCCCAGAAAGUUUUACCAUCAACAUCUCUGACCAGCACAAUAAGUAAAGAUUUCUCCAAAUCCGCUUCAAAGAUCUUGUUGAACAAGGAAGGAUCCUGUUGAAUAUCUGCAGCAGAACGUCCUCGCCAGGCAUCUAAGCUACUAAAGACGGAGUCAUUGACAUAGAGGCCUGCAGCAUAGACCUUGACACCAAUAAUUGCAAAAAUCUUUUCCCUGUAUCCAGUUCCAAGCAAUGACAAGGAAGUAGAGCAACCAGGUAAGCUCAAUGAUCUUUGAAAUUUCACCUUAGUAGCUGGUUCUUCUGUGUAUUCUGCACUUCCAACAGAAGAGGAGGCAGCAGCUUUGAUUGUGAGAUUUUGUUCGUAUUGGCCAUUUCUCUCAAAUGUAGAUAAGGGAUAAAUACCAUUUCUUGAAAGUUUAAGAGGAUAACAAAUUCUGGGUAUGGAGUUAAAAGCAGUGAUCUUUGUGGGUGUGGAUGUUGAAAUCCAUACUGAAAUG